rnacentral:rRNA from 1 species
UGCCAGCAGCCGCGGUAAGACAGAGGGUGCAAACGUUGUUCGGAAUUACUGGGCGUAAAGCGCGUGUAGGCUGUCGUGCAAGUCGGGUGUGAAAGCCCAGGGCUCAACCCUGGAAGUGCACUCGAAACUGCAAGACUUGAAUCUCGGAGAGGGUAGCGGAAUUCUGGGUGUAGAGGUGAAAUUCGUAGAUAUCCAGAGGAACACCGGUGGCGAAGGCGGCUACCUGGACGAGUAUUGACGCUGAGACGCGAAAGCGUGGGGAGCAAACAGGAUUAGAUA